rnacentral:rRNA from 1 species
AGUGAACGCUGGCGGCGUGCUUAACACAUGCAAGUCGAACGAGAACGGAAUAUAGCUUGCUAUAUUUGCCAGCUAAGUGGCGCACGGGUGAGUAAUGUAUAGAUAACCUGCCCUUAAGAAAGGAAUAACAGUUGGAAACGACUGCUAAUGCCCUAUAUGCCUUUAAUACAUAAGUAUGCAAGGGAAACGCUUUAGUGCUUAAGGAUGGGUCUGUAUGGUAUCAGCUUGUUGGUGAGGUGAUGGCUCACCAAGGCUAUGACGCCUAACUGGUUUGAGAGGAUGAUCAGUCACACUGGAACUGAGACACGGUCCAGACUCCUACGGGAGGCAGCAGUGGGGAAUAUUGCACAAUGGACGAAAGUCUGAUGCAGCAACGCCGCGUGGAGGAUGACACAUUUCGGUGCGUAAACUCCUUUUAUAUAGGAAGAUAAUGACGGUACUAUAUGAAUAAGCACCGGCUAACUCCGUGCCAGCCGCCGCAGUAA